UACGUAGGGCGCAAGCGUUGUCCGGAAUUAUUGGGCGUAAAGAGCUCGUAGGCGGUUUGUCGCGUCUGCUGUGAAAACCUAAGGCUCAACCUUGGGCUUGCAGUGGGUACGGGCAGACUAGAGUGCGGUAGGGGAGAUCGGAAUUCCUGGUGUAGCGGUGAAAUGCGCAGAUAUCAGGAGGAACACCGGUGGCGAAGGCGGAUCUCUGGGCCGUAACUGACGCUGGAGGAGCGAAAGCAUGGGGAGCGAACAGG
rnacentral:rRNA from 1 species